rnacentral:tRNA from 1 species
AGACAGGUGGCCGAGUGGUUGAAGGCGCACGCCUGGAACGCGUGUGUAGUGCAAGCUACCGUGGGUUCGAAUCCCAUCCUGUCUGCCA